CGCCUGUUUAUCAAAAACAUGUCCUUUUGUUUAAUUAUAUUAAGGUUUGACCUGCCCAAUGAUUUCUAUUUAAUGGCCGCGGUAUUUUAACUGUGCUAAGGUAGCAUAAUCACUUGUCUUUUAAUUGAAGGCUGGAAUGAAUGGUUGGACGAGGUAUUUUCUUUCUUUAGUAUAAUUUGUGAAUUUAAUCUCUUAGUUAGAAAGCUAAGAUAUUUUUGUUGGACGAGAAGACCCUGUAGAUCUUUAUAUUUCUUGUUAUUUGGUUAUUUGGUAUAUUUACACUUUUAUAUAAAGAAGUAUUUGGUUGGGGUGAUUUUGGAAUUAGAAUAACUUCUGGUUUAUUAUUUUCAUUAAUUUAUGUUUUUUUGAUCCAUUAUUAUUGAUUAAAAGAUUAAGUUACCUCAGGGAUAACAGCGUAAUCUCUCUGGAGAGUUCAUAUCGAUGGAGGGGUUUGCGACCUCGAUGUUGGAUUAAAAUAAGUAGUAGGAGUAGUUUUUUACUAACUAGGUCUGUUCGACCUUUGAUUUUUUACAUGAUCUGAGUUCAAACCGGAG
rnacentral:rRNA from 1 species